rnacentral:rRNA from 1 species
UAGAACCUACGGGGGGCAGCAGUGGGGAAUUUUGGACAAUGGGCGCAAGCCUGAUCCAGCUAUUCCGCGUGUGGGAUGACGGCCCUCGGGUUGUAAACCACUUUAGUAGAGAACGAAAAGGAGCUAUCGAAUAAAUAGCUCUGCUGACGGUACUCUAAGAAUAAGCACCGGCUAACUACGUGCCAGCAGCCGCGGUAAUACGUAGGGUGCGAGCGUUAAUCGGAAUUACUGGGCGUAAAGGAUGUGCAGGCGGCUGAGUAAGACAGAUGUGAAAUACCCGGGCUUAAGCUGGGAAACGCAUAAGG